GAUGAAGAACGCAGCGAAAUGCGAUAAGUAAUGUGAAUUGCAGAAUUCAGUGAAUCAUCGAAUCUUUGAACGCACCUUGCGCUCCUUGGUAUUCCGAGGAGCAUGCCUGUUUGAGUGUCAUUAAAUUCUCAACCAUUAUCAACUUUUGCUGAUAAUGGCUUGGAUGUGGGGGUCUAUUUUGCUGGCUUCUCAGAUAGUCAGCUCCCCUUAAAUGCAUUAGCCGGUGCCCCGCGUGGACUGUCUAUUGGUGUGAUAAUUAUCUACGCUAUGGACAUCUGCAAUCAUAUGGGUUUGCGCUACUUCUAACAGUCUGUUGAUUCAGACAAUACAUGACAAUUUGACCUCAAAUCAGGUAGGACUACCCGCUGAACUUAAGCAUAUCAAUAAGCGGAGGA
rnacentral:misc_RNA from 1 species